AUUGAACGCUGGCGGCAUGCUUUACACAUGCAAGUCGAACGGCAGCGCGGGCUUCGGCCUGGCGGCGAGUGGCGAACGGGGGAGUAAUGCAUGGGAACGUGCCCCGUAGUGGGGGAUGGCACGGCGAAAGCAGGAUUAAUACCGCAUACGAACUGAGGGUGAAAGAGGGGGACCGAAAGGCAUAGCGCGAUUGGAGCGGCCGAUGUCGGAUUAGCUAGUUGGUGGGGUAAAGGCUUACCAAGGCGACGAUCCGUAGCCGGUCUGAGAGGGUGACCAGCCACACUGGAACUGAGACACGGUCCAGACUCCUACGGGAGGCAGCAGUAGGGAAUUUUCGGCAAUGGGCGCAAGCCUGACCCAGCCAUGCCGCGUGCGUGAAGAAGGCCUUCGGAUCGUAAAACUCUUUUGUUCGGGAAGAACAUCUCUGGAAUAAUCCCCCGACGGCAUGACGGUACCGGAUCAAUAAGCAACGGCUAACUACGUG
rnacentral:rRNA from 1 species